rnacentral:lncRNA from 1 species
AGGUUUUCAUUUCUCUUGGGCAAAUACCUAGAAGUGGGAUUUUGAGUUUGUAUUGUAUGGGUAUGUUUAAUUUUUUUUUUUUCUUUAAGAUGGAAUCUUGCUCUUAUUGCCCAGGCUGGAGUGCAAUGGUGCAAUUUCGGCUCACUGCAACCUCUGCCUCCUGGGUUCAAGUGAUUACCUUGCCUCAUCUUCCUGAGUAGCUGGGAUUACAGGUGUCCACCACCACGCCCAGCUACUUUUUAUAUUUUUAGUAGAGAUGGGGUUUCACCAUAUUGGCCAGGCUGGUCUUGAACUCCUGACCUCAGGUGAUCCACUUGCCUUGGCCAUAUGUUUAAUUUUUAAGAAGCUGCCAAAUUGUUUUCCAAGGUGGCUGUACCAUUUUUCAUUUCCACCAGCAAUAUUUGAGGUUUACAAUUGCUCCACACUUUGGUAGUACUCGACAUUGUCAGGUUUUUUUUUUUUUUUUUUAAGUAUCUCAUGAUGGUUUUACUUUGCAUGUCCUUAAUGACUAAUUGUGUUGAGCAUUUUUUCAUGUGCUUUUUAGCCAUACAUAUAUCUUCUUUGGUGAAGUGUGUGUUCAGAACUUUUGCCAUUUAAAAAAUUGGAUUGCUUGUUUUCUUAUUUUUGAAUAUUGAGCAUUCUUUAUAAAUUUUAUAUACAAGUCUUUGUCAGAAGUAUGAUUUGCAAAUAUUUUAUUGCAAUCUGUGGUUUGCUUUUGGAUUCUCUUGAAAGUAUCAUUUGCAAAACAAAAGUUUUAAAUUGUCAUAAAGUUAAAAUUGUCAUUUUUUUCUUUUAUGGAUAAUACCUAGGGUCAUGAUUAUUUUCUCCUGUAUUUCUUCUAGAAGUACAUUGUACAUUUAGGUUUAUGAUCCUUUUUUUUUUUUUGAGACAGGGUCUCACUCUAUCACCCAGGCAACCAGGCUGGAAUGCAGAAGUAUGGUCAUUGCUCAUUUCAGUCUCAAGCUCCUGGGCUCAAAGGAUCCUCCUACCUCAGCCUCAAGAGACAGAGUUUAGUUUUGUUGCCCAGGCUGGAGUGCAGUGGUGUGCUCAUAACUGUCUGUAGCCUUGACCUCCUGUGCUCAAGUGAUCCUCCUGCAUCAGUUUCCCAAGUAGCUGGGACUACAGGUAUGCACCACCACACCCAGCCAAUUUAGACAAUUUUUUUUAUAUAGAAAUUGAGUCUUUGUUGCCCAGGCUGGUCUCAAACACCUAGGCUCUUGCAGUCCUCCUGCCUCUACCUCCCAAAGUGCUG